rnacentral:rRNA from 1 species
UACGUAGGGGGCGAGCGUUAUCCGGAUUUACUGGGUGUAAAGGGAGCGUAGACGGCAGAGCAAGUCAGAAGUGAAAGCCCGCGGCUCAACUGCGGGACUGCUUUUGAAACUGUUCAGCUGGAGUGCAGGAGAGGUAAGUGGAAUUCCUAGUGUAGCGGUGAAAUGCGUAGAUAUUAGGAGGAACACCAGUGGCGAAGGCGGCUUACUGGACUGUGACUGACGUUGAGGCUCGAAAGCGUGGGGAGCAA